rnacentral:rRNA from 1 species
GACAUCAACCGAGAUUCCGCUAGUAGUGGCGAGCGAACGCGGAGGAGGCCAAACCGAGGGACGCAAGUUCUUCGGGGUUGCGGACAGACAUCAUGACCAGAGGAAAUUAAGAGAACGGCGUGGGAAAGCCGGCCAUAGAAGGUGAGAGCCCUGUAUCUGAAAAUGAAGACUGGCAGUCUGGAUCCAGAGUACCGCGGGACACGUGAAACCCCGUGGGAAACCGGGUGGACCACCAUCCAAGCCUAAAUACUACCUGAUGACCGAUAGAGGAGCAGUACCGUGAGGGAAAGGUGAAAAGGACCCCGGGAGGGGAGUGAAAGAGAACCUGAAACCUUGUGCUUACAAGCACUCAAAGCACGUUAAUGUGUGAUGAGGUACUUUUUGUAGAACGGUCCGGCGAGUUAUAGUAACGAGCAAGCUUAAGGUAUUGAGUACCGGAGGCGAAGCGAGAGCGAGUCUGAAUAGGGCGUAAAGUUCGUUGCCAUAGACCCGAAACCGGGUGACCUAUCCAUGAGCAGGCUGAAGUGAGAGUAAAAUCUCAUGGAGGGCCGAACCGACCCCCGUUGCAAUGGUGGCGGAUGACUUGUGGAUAGCGGAGAAAUUCCAAUCGAACUCGGAGAUAGCUGGUUCUCCCCGAAAUAGCUUUAGGGCUAGCCUCGUUUUAGAUUACCGGGGGUAGAGCACUGAAUGGGCUAGGGGGCCACAAAGCUUACCGAACCCUAUCAAACUUCGAAUACCGGAUAAUUGAUGAACGGGAGUCAGACGGCGGGAGAUAAGUUUCGUCGUCAAAAGGGAAACAGCCCAGAUCUACGACUAAGGUCCCGAAAUCACAGUUAAGUGGAAAAGGAUGUGCAGUUGCACAGACAACCAGGAUGUUGGCUUAGAAGCAGCCACUCAUUUAAAGAGUGCGUAAUAGCUCACUGGUCGAGUGAUUGUGCGCCGAAAAUGUACCGGGGCUAAACUGUGUACCGAAGUCUAGGGAUCGUGAUAAACGAUCGGUAGGGGAGCAACGUGUGCGGGCUGAAGCCGAAGCGGAAGCGACGGUGGACUGCACGGGAGAGAGAAUGCCGGCAUGAGUAGCGAGAGCAAAGUGAGAAUCUUUGCCGUCGAAAGCCUAAGGUUUCCUGAGGAAGGCUCGUCCUCUCAGGGUAAGUCAGGACCUAAGCCGAGGACAAAAGUCGUAGGCGAUGGACAACUGGUUGAUAUUCCAGUACCACCUUUAGCGUUUGACUGAAGCAGUGACACAGAAGGAUAGACAGAGCGCGUGACUGGUAGAGCGCGUCCAAGCGAUGAGGGAGUUAAGUAGUGAAGCACGCUUAACAAUCCUGGGUCGUGAUGGGGACUGAAAAUAAGUAGGGAAGCUGUUGAAUUCACGCUGGCGAGAAAAGCUGCUAAGGAGCGAAAGGGUGCCUGUACCGCAAACCGACACAGGUAGGCGAGGAGAGAAUCCUAAGACGAGCGGGAGAACCCAUGUUAAGGAACUCGGCAAAAUGACCCUGUAACUUCGGGAUAAAGGGAGCCACGAGAGUGGCCGCAGAGAAUAGGCCCAAGCGACUGUUUACCAAAAACACAGGUCUGUGCGAAGUAGAGAUACGACGUAUACGGGCUGACGCCUGCCCAGUGCCGGAAGGUUAAGGGGAAGUGUUAGGGCAACCGAAGCACGGAACUUAAGCCCCGGUGAACGGCGGCCGUAACUAUAACGGUCCUAAGGUAGCGAAAUUCCUUGUCGGGU